rnacentral:rRNA from 1 species
GACGAACGCUGGCGGCGGGCUUAACACAUGCAAGUCGAACGGCAAGGCCCUGCUUUUGUGGGGUGCUCGAGUGGCGAACGGGUGCGUAACACGUGAGUAACCUGCCCUUCACUUUGGUAUAACUUCAGGUAACUGGGGCUACUACCGGAUAGGAGCCCCUGCUGCAUGGUGGGGGUUGGAAAGUUUCGGCGGUUGGGGAUGGACGCGCGGCUUAUCAGCUUGUUGGUGGGGUAGUGGCUUACCCACGCUUUGACGGGUAGCCGGCCUGAGAGGGUGACCGGCGACAUUGGUACUGCGAGUCGGCCCAGUCGCCUACGGGAGGCAGCAGGGGGGAAUAUUGCACAGUGAGCGGAAGCCUGAUGCAGCAACGCCGCGGGCGGGAUGACGGCCUUCGGGUUGUAAACCGCUUUCGCCUGUGACGAAGCGUGAGUGACGGUAAUGGGUAAAGAAGCACCGGCUAACUACGUG